AUUUAAUAUAUGUAUAAAUAUCAGGCCAAUGGCUACAAGAGAAUCACCAAUUCCCAGGUUCUUCUGGCAAUUCCCACAGCAGGGGCUUCUCAGAGGAUUUGUUUCCCUUUUCCCAGCCAGAGUAAACAGAGGUGCUGCCAGCUGGCAACGCAGGAAAAAUCUCCACAGGGAUCCAGCCAGCAGCAUCCUCCAAACCAGCUGCACAUCUGGGAAGCCUCCACACCUCUCCCUGCCAGCUGUCAGCACAUCUGGGGAACCUCCACACCUCACACUCCUCUCCCUGCCAGCUGCCAGCACAUCUGGGGAACCUCCACACCUCACACUCCUCUCCCUGCCAGCUGCCAGCACAUCUGGGGAACCUCCACACCUCACACUCCUCUCCCUGCCAGCUGCCAGCACAUCUGGGGAACCUCCACACCUCACACUCCUCUCCCUGCCAGCUGCCAGCACAUCUGGGGAACCUCCACACCUCACACUCCUCUCCCUGCCAGCUGCCAGCACAUCUGGGGAACCUCCACACCUCACACUCCUCUCCCUGCCAGCUGCCAGCACAUCUGGGGAACCUCCACACCUCACACUCCUCUCCCUGCCAGCUGCCAGCACAUCUGGGGAACCUCCACACCUCACACUCCUCUCCCUGCCAGCUGCCAGCACAUCUGGGGAACCUCCACACCUCACACUCCUCUCCCUGCCAGCUGCCAGCACAUCUGGGGAACCUCCACACCUCACACUCCUCUCCCUGCCAGCUGCCAGCACAUCUGGGGAACCUCCACACCUCACACUCCUCUCCCUGCCAGCUGCCAGCACAUCUGGGGAACCUCCACACCUCACACUCCUCUCCCUGCCAGCUGCCAGCACAUCUGGGGAACCUCCACACCUCACACUCCUCUCCCUGCCAGCUGCCAGCACAUCUGGGGAACCUCCACACCUCACACUCCUCUCCCUGCCAGCUGCCAGCACAUCUGGGGAACCUCCACACCUCACACUCCUCUCCCUGCCAGCUGCCAGCACAUCUGGGGAACCUCCACACCUCACACUCCUCUCCCUGCCAGCUGCCAGCACAUCUGGGGAACCUCCACACCUCACACUCCUCUCCCUGCCAGCUGCCAGCACAUCUGGGGAACCUCCACACCUCACACUCCUCUCCCUGCCAGCUGCCAGCACAUCUGGGGAACCUCCACACCUCACACUCCUCUCCCUGCCAGCUGCCAGCACAUCUGGGGAACCUCCACACCUCACACUCCUCUCCCUGCCAGCUGCCAGCACAUCUGGGGAACCUCCACACCUCACACUCCUCUCCCUGCCAGCUGCCAGCACAUCUGGGGAACCUCCACACCUCACACUCCUCUCCCUGCCAGCUGCCAGCACAUCUGGGGAACCUCCACACCUCACACUCCUCUCCCUGCCAGCUGCCAGCACAUCUGGGGAACCUCCACACCUCACACUCCUCUCCCUGCCAGCUGCCAGCACAUCUGGGGAACCUCCACACCUCACACUCCUCUCCCUGCCAGCUGCCAGCACAUCUGGGGAACCUCCACACCUCACACUCCUCUCCCUGCCAGCUGCCAGCACAUCUGGGGAACCUCCACACCUCACACUCCUCUCCCUGCCAGCUGCCAGCACAUCUGGGGAACCUCCACACCUCACACUCCUCUCCCUGCCAGCUGCCAGCACAUCUGGGGAACCUCCACACCUCACACUCCUCUCCCUGCCAGCUGCCAGCACAUCUGGGGAACCUCCACACCUCACACUCCUCUCCCUGCCAGCUGCCAGCACAUCUGGGGAACCUCCACACCUCACACUCCUCUCCCUGCCAGCUGCCAGCACAUCUGGGGAACCUCCACACCUCACACUCCUCUCCCUGCCAGCUGCCAGCACAUCUGGGGAACCUCCACACCUCACACUCCUCUCCCUGCCAGCUGCCAGCACAUCUGGGGAACCUCCACACCUCACACUCCUCUCCCUGCCAGCUGCCAGCACAUCUGGGGAACCUCCACACCUCACACUCCUCUCCCUGCCAGCUGCCAGCACAUCUGGGGAACCUCCACACCUCACACUCCUCUCCCUGCCAGCUGCCAGCACAUCUGGGGAACCUCCACACCUCACACUCCUCUCCCUGCCAGCUGCCAGCACAUCUGGGGAACCUCCACACCUCACACUCCUCUCCCUGCCAGCUGCCAGCACAUCUGGGGAACCUCCACACCUCACACUCCUCUCCCUGCCAGCUGCCAGCACAUCUGGGGAACCUCCACACCUCACACUCCUCUCCCUGCCAGCUGCCAGCACAUCUGGGGAACCUCCACACCUCACACUCCUCUCCCUGCCAGCUGCCAGCACAUCUGGGGAACCUCCACACCUCACACUCCUCUCCCUGCCAGCUGCCAGCACAUCUGGGGAACCUCCACACCUCACACUCCUCUCCCUGCCAGCUGCCAGCACAUCUGGGGAACCUCCACACCUCACACUCCUCUCCCUGCCAGCUGCCAGCACAUCUGGGGAACCUCCACACCUCACACUCCUCUCCCUGCCAGCUGCCAGCACAUCUGGGGAACCUCCACACCUCACACUCCUCUCCCUGCCAGCUGCCAGCACAUCUGGGGAACCUCCACACCUCACACUCCUCUCCCUGCCAGCUGCCAGCACAUCUGGGGAACCUCCACACCUCACACUCCUCUCCCUGCCAGCUGCCAGCACAUCUGGGGAACCUCCACACCUCACACUCCUCUCCCUGCCAGCUGCCAGCACAUCUGGGGAACCUCCACACCUCACACUCCUCUCCCUGCCAGCUGCCAGCACAUCUGGGGAACCUCCACACCUCACACUCCUCUCCCUGCCAGCUGCCAGCACAUCUGGGGAACCUCCACACCUCACACUCCUCUCCCUGCCAGCUGCCAGCACAUCUGGGGAACCUCCACACCUCACACUCCUCUCCCUGCCAGCUGCCAGCACAUCUGGGGAACCUCCACACCUCACACUCCUCUCCCUGCCAGCUGCCAGCACAUCUGGGGAACCUCCACACCUCACACUCCUCUCCCUGCCAGCUGCCAGCACAUCUGGGGAACCUCCACACCUCACACUCCUCUCCCUGCCAGCUGCCAGCACAUCUGGGGAACCUCCACACCUCACACUCCUCUCCCUGCCAGCUGCCAGCACAUCUGGGGAACCUCCACACCUCACACUCCUCUCCCUGCCAGCUGCCAGCACAUCUGGGGAACCUCCACACCUCACACUCCUCUCCCUGCCAGCUGCCAGCACAUCUGCACCAAGCCUCCACAGCACCAGACCUUCCCCAGAGCUCCCCCUGCCCCAGAAAGGGGCUUUGGGGUGGGUUUGUGUCCGGCAGCAGCUCCUGGGUCACCCCCUCUUGCUCUGCCAGGUUUCAGAGGUCUGGGCCAUGGAAGUGGCUCUGGUCCUGCAGGAGCCGUGGGUUGUCCAGAGCUGGAUUGGUUUUACUCCUUCUGGACAAAUUAUUUGAGCUUCCCAAGGAGCAGCUUCUCCCUGAUCCUUCUUUGAACUGGCAUCUCCCAGCCCAGCACAAUCAGCUUU
ensembl:lncRNA